CAAAACCAAAUGAGGACCGUGACUAAGGCUUCGUUUGAGAUUUGUAGGGGGAAUGCGUAAUGCACCAUGAGAAAAUACAGUAAAAAAGUAUUUUAUUUUUUUUCAUAUACGAUAUUAAGUUUUGUACAUCACAAAUAGUUGAUUAAAAUAUAUUUUAUACUAUUCCAUCAAAAAAUGCGUAAACAUAUCCUUAUAUGAUUUCCCUGUAACUCCAUUUUGCUUAUUAGUAUUAAAUGCGCCUCACUAUCAAAGUCAUGUGUCAAUAUUUAUCGAGGAAAGAACAAUUUUUAUCUACAUAUAUGCAUCUGUAAAACUGUGCAACGGACUUUUACAUGGCGCCCAUCUUGUUUCGUAACCAGAUAGAGUAGUCACGAAGACGAUCAACAUAAAAAAAAUAAUUUAAUUUCAUACAGAUUUCUACAAAUAUGGUGAAUUCUAAAUAUAUCCAUAUAAAGUUCAACUUUCAUAUGUUUUUUCUCUAAAAAUUCUAAUAUUUUUAAAUAUGUCCAUAUAGUUAAAAUCCGUUAGAAAAUUUUAAUUAACCAUAUGUUAAAUACUUAAUUUUAAUUAGUUUAUGAGAUAACUUAAUAUUUUUGUCCCUCUUAUAUUAUACUGUUGUGGCUUUUAGAGAGGCAUAUUUGUGAUGGAAAAAUUAUCAUGUUACUUAAAAUAUAAAUAGUUAUAUAAUGGUAACAAAUUAGAGAGACAUAUUUAAAAAUACUAAAAUUUUUACAGAAACAACGUAUGAAAAUUAAACUUUAUAGAAAUGUAUUUGUAAUUCACUAUAUUUACAGGAAUAUGUAUGCAUUUAACCUUAAAAAAGAAACUCUAAAUUGAUCGACGGAU
rnacentral:lncRNA from 1 species